rnacentral:misc_RNA from 1 species
UAAAACCACCCUUGCUCAGCUUGUGUACAAUGAUAGAAGAGUAUGCGAGUGGUUUGAUCUUAAAGCAUGGGUCUGUGUUUCAGAAGAAUUUGAUGUUUUCAGAGUAACAAAAGAUAUCUUUGAGGAGCUGACUUGGAAGACCUGUGAUAUCAUGACUCUAAAUCGGCUUCAACUUGAGCUGAAGGAGAGAGUAAUGGGGAAGAAAUUUUUCCUUGUCUUAGACGAUGUUUGGAAUGAUAAGUAUGAAGAUUGGGACAUUUUAUGGAGACCUUUAAGGUAUGGAGCAAAGGGAAGUAAGGUUGUCAUUACUACACGCAACAGAAGAGUAGCAUCAAUCAUGCAAACUGUACCAACUCAUCACCUAAAGCAAUUAACUGAUGAUGACUGUUGGUGCUUGUUCGCAAAGCAUGCAUUUGAUGAUGGAGAUUCUGGUAUCCAUUCAAACUUGAAAGAAAUUGGUCGUGGAAUAGUGGGAAAGUGUAAAGGUCUACCUUUAACUGCAAAAACACUUGGAGCUCUGCUGCGCCCCAAAAGAGAUGUUGAGGAAUGGGAGAAGGUAUGGAAGAGUAAUAUGUGGGAUUUGCCAGAUGACAGCAUUCUUCCAGCUUUAAAAUUGAGCUAUCAUUAUUUACCAUCACAUUUGAAGCGAUGCUUUGCUUAUUGCUCAAUAUUCCCUAAGGAUUAUAACUUCAAAAAGCAAGAAUUAGUCCUUUUGUGGAUGGCGGAGGGUUUUAUAGUGCAACCCCAGGGAAAUAAAGAGAUGGAAGAAGUUGGUGAUGAGUACUUUCAAGAUCUUGUAUCCCGGUCCUUUUUUCAACGAUCAAAUGUUCAUCCAUCACUUUUCAUCAUGCACGACCUGCUCAGUGAUUUAGCUAAAGUGGUAUCUGGAGAAUUUUGCUUCAGGUUAGAAGGCGACGAUUCAUCAAAAAUUUCUCAGAGAACUCGCCAUUUAUCAUAUGGAAGAACAAAGAAAUUUGAGGCCAUCACUGAAGCCAAACUUUUGCGCACUUUUCUGCCCGUGGAGAGAUCACGACAGUGGAAACCUGAACUCAUUGAUAUUGAGGUAACACAUAAUUUGCUGCCAAUGCUAAAGUACUUAAGAGUGCUUUCUCUGUCUAAGUAUCAAUGUAUAGCUGAGUUGCCCAAUUCAAUUGGCAACUUAAAGCAUU